UUUAUGUUAUUUUUAAGAAGUUUUAGCUGAAACAUUUAUUAUUUUACACAAACUUAAAUUACUAAAAGAAUAUAUCAGAAAUUUUUAAUAAAUAAUAGCAAUAUAUUUAUUAACAAAACAGGUAACCUUUACAUAAAAAAAUUAAAAUAUUAAUUUUAUUUUAUGGAAAAGUUUUAGAAAUGUUCUUAGUAGAUAUUAUUUUUGUAUUAUAUAUUAUUAAACAAAUGUUUUUUACUAAAUCUGAUUUGCUUGUAUUAGUUAUUGUUUUAUUUAUUUAUCAUGUAUUAAUAAAUAAAUAUAGCAAAACAUUAAUUAAAAAAAAAUUGAAAACUGUCGUGAGUUUUUGAAAAAAACCACAAAAACUUGGAUUUUGGUUUUUCUUUGGAAAAAACAGUUAUUUGAAAAAACUAGUUUCCCUAGAUUAUAGGGAAUCUAUUUAUCUAAAAACUUGAUUGUCUAAAAAAUGGUUUUUAGAAAAACUAAAAUCAAAAACCAAUUCAAAAACCACAAACAAUCAACCUCAUACUCCGGUUACCACGAUACAUUUAACCAGAACAAUUGAAAACGUGUUAAUUUAGUUGGGAAAAGAAGAAAGAAAUUCCGAACCUUUACAGAAGAGAGAGAUAGAAACUAACAAUAUUAUGUACUUGUGUUUACCUAAUAUUGAAACAUGCAUAUACGUUUGUCAUUUGUUCUUAUCUUCUGAUGCUAUGUAAAUUUAAUAUUCUAUAAAAGUUUGAAUCCUAUUCACACAUACAUCACAACAGAUGCCAGUAUGAAGGACGAUAAUGUUUUGUAAGAAAGUUAACACUUGGCUUGAAAUUCCUGGAAUCCAACAUAUGUCGUAAUAAUGGAGCAAAAUGUAAAUCCGUUAUUUCAAUAGCAUUUAGGAGGGUGUAUUGCACAAAAAGUUUUAGAGGAUUUUAGUUUUUUUACCCAAAUUCAUUGUUAUUCAAUUUUUGAAGAUUCUGGUGGUGGCGAAGCUUUGUUUCGGAGGUUACAAUGAAAGUUUAGAACAAUUUGACAUUUUAAUGAAUAAUUUUGUUCUUCUCAAAUAGUAAGAGGAAAAAGAAUAAAACAACAGAUAGAAUCCAAAAAUAAAAGAAAAAAAAAUCACGUCAGAGAAACAAUAAUAGAGAAACUAUGGAAACGUAAAGAAGAAGGAAUCAUAGUCUCUGGUUCCGAUAUCAACAAAACCCUAGAACAAUACGAACAAACCCUCAAGUUACAUUACCAUCAUCACCAUUCACCACCAAAGCCAUUACCACCAUCGAAAGAUUCAUGAAUCCAACUCGCCUGUUCGCCGAUGAUGAUAUCUUCUGUGCUCUGAAACAACAACAAAACAAAGCACGAGAUUGAUGAACUUGAAUUGUCUAAACUAUUGAAUGAAUUGGAAAAGUUUAGAAAAGCUAGUCGAUACUGACUAGAAGAUAUCAAAUGAUCAAUAACUUUUCUGUGGGAGGAAACGGCCAAUUUCACCACUCUUCCAUGUUCUCAUAUGCGAACGUUUGAAUCAAGCCUAAAACAACAUGAACUGGCUCUUCUACAGGGCCGUCUAAUAGCAUGUGCUAGUGGAACGGUCGAACAGGGCGCAAACUUAAAAAUAAAAAAAAUACUUAAGAAAAUUUCUAAAAUAAAUAUAUAAAUUUGGUUUAAAAUUUUAACUUUUUAAUGUAUUCUUAAAUUUAUUAUCUAUAAUUAAAAGAGAAACGUCAAAUAUAUAUAGAUAAAAUUAUUAACAUUUAAAAUUAUUUUAUUACAUUGUUAAAUAUAUAGUUAAUUUUUUUUUGAACAGGGCCUUAGUAUAAUUUGAGACGGCCCUGCUCGUCUAUCAACAAUAAAAGACUCUUUUUGACCUAUACAUGACAACAUCAGAUAAAUCAUGAAACAUAACGAACCAAAGUCUUGUACGAACGAGAAUCAUACAGAAACGUAUACAAAUUAAAUUUAGCAACUAGCAACUCUGUAAAGAAACACUAUUUAAACUUUAUAGGAUUUUUAACAUUAAAACCUCUCAACUAAGUUUGUUUCGAGUAAAAACUCUUCAAACUAAGUAUUUAGUGAAAUAACCCCCAAACUAAUUUUAUUUAAUUAAUUAAACCCUCUGUCUACAGUGUGGGUCAUAAUUACCACUACUACCGGUAAAUUUUUAGUUUAGAUCUUUAGUUUAGGAGUUUUUACAUCAAAUAAACAUAGUUAAGGUUUUACCAUUGAAAAAUCAAAAAUAUAAUAACAUUAACUAAAAAUUAGUAACUUAAAAUUUUUCAGAAUUAUCAUUCUUUAAAUUAAUGCAAAUAGAUGAGUUUGAUUUCUUUUAAAAUCAACAUUAUCUAUGUAUAAAUUGAAAAUGUAAAAUACCAGAAAAUAUAAUAAAAAAUUAUCUAAAGAUUUACUUGUAGAAGUAGUAGUAAUUCUUUUGACAGGCACUAGAUAUAAACUAAUUAUCUAAAAAUCAAGUAACUAACAUUUUCAAAACUAGCACAUCAAAUAAAUUAUGCUGCAUCAAUGAGAUAUAUUUAUUUUAAAAUCCAUAUUAUAUGUGGGAGCUAAAACUCACAAUUAUAUUUAAUGUGAAUGGAGUAAGGUUUAGUCAGACUAGGCUAUAUUCACAUUAAAUUGUUAGUUGCGGGUUUUAGCUCCCACGUAUAAUUUGAAUUUUAAAAUAAAUCUAUCACAUCAAUGCAGCAUAAUUGAUCUGAAGUGCUAAUUUUGAAAAUGUUUGUCACUAAUUUUUAAAUAAUUAUUUUAUCUCUAUUGUCGGUCAAAAGAACCACUAAUACCGACAAAAAUUUAUAUACUUUUUAUUUUAUUUUGUGGUUUUUUAAUUUUAAUUUAUACAUAAAUGUUGAUUUCAAAAUAAAUCAAACUCAUCUAUUUGCAUAAACUUUCAAAAUGCUAAUUUUAAAAUUUUAAGUUACUAAUUUUUAGAUAAUGUUUUUAUAUUUUCACAUAUUUUAGAAUAUUUUAGAUCUUUAAUGGAAAAUCCCUUGACUAUCUUUAUUUAAUGUAAAAAUCUCUAAACUAAAGAUUUAUCGGUAGUAGUGAUAGUUAUGACCGGCACUUUAGACAGAGGAUUUAAUUCAUUAAAUAAAGUUAGUUUGGGGGAUAUUUCACUAAAUACUUAGUUUGGGAGUAUUUACUCAAAAAAUGUAUUUGAGGGUUUUAACGUUAUAAAUCUAUUUUCAAAACAUAACAACAUUAAUAUUCACCAAAUAAAAUAGUUAUAUUAGAUUAAUUAUUUGAUUUAAUUAUUCGUGUAAUAGAUAAUUAUUCUAAGUAUUCAAUAAUAUUUUAGCAUGUUUUGGAUACAUAUAAAAGAUUUAGAUCGGGUUUGGUACAAGUUAUUUUUUGAGAUUUUAAAUUUUCAAAUUUUUGGAUAUCCAUUUGGGUUUGGGUAAAACCCAUAACCCGAAAUACCGUAAAAAUUAAUUUGGUAUUAUGCCAGGUUCGGAUCAAUUCGAAUUCAUUUUUACCGGGUUGGGUCUGGAUCGAAUUUUUGGAUUCAGUUUAUUUGUGCAGCCCUAAGUGAUAUACAUUCUAAUAGUUAUAAAUCAAAUUUAUAUUUAAAUAAAAAAAAGAAAAAAAAAACUAUUAAGAAGACAAAAAUGAAUAGUUGGUCCGGUUCCUUUGCAAACGAAGUUCAGAAUCAACAAGGGUUCGUAGAACGAAGGGAGUGUACAAAUGAUUUUUCAAACCACUUUCUUGUUCGUAACGAGGGAAAAAUAAAAUUGAGUUCUUCACGAAGUUAGAAAAAAAAAAGACUUUCCGUAUGGCCUCCUUGUUUUAAGACAUUAUGGCUUUGCCAAACAAAGCAAUGCCAAGAGAAUAACUGACUAAGCUGUGCGAUGAGGGUCAUUCUAACCGUGCAUCUUUGCUUAGCAUGGUUCGACAAAAGAAAUAGGUGGAAAAUGGACCGAGAAAAUAAUGCUUUGUGAAUUCAAUUACUUUGACAAAAAUAUAUGAAAAAUCAGUGCUAUCGAGGAACAUUUUAUAGAAAGAAAAGAAAAAGAGCAAAUCACAAUAUUUUGAUUAACUAAAUUUUGUUAAAAUAUAAAAUCACCAAAAACCUACACAUACACGUCUUUGAUUACUUACAAUAAAUAGCCUUGAAUUUCCAUUUCAUAAAAAAAUGUAAUUAUUUAAAAAUUAAAAUUUAAUAAUUUCGGAAUAAGAUUUAGCAGUAUUAAAAGAAAUUUAUUACAUAAAGAAGAAGGCAUCUCUCUUUUCCUUGCACCACGUCACUAAUUCUUCUCUUUUCAGCAUGACACGUGUAUUCUUCUUUUAUUCUUGCUUUUCGUUUGUCUUCUGUUUGGGUCUUACGGAUUUGAUUUCUUUGGGCUAACCCCAUUUGUUCAAGUUGGCUGAUAGAAAUAAUAAUGAUAGGAGCCCAAUAUUGACAGUCUUCGUCUUCGAGAACUACGACCAUCCACUUUUAGGGUUCAUUAUGUUUUCGAACCUCAAAUUGUUGAAACCAAUAUGGAGUUUCGGGAGUGUUAUGCAAGACAAAACUAAAACCAAGUAAGCAAUUUUCAAACUAAAAUCAAGUUUCUUAUAUUGGAUCGGAGUACCAAAAUCUCAGACCUUGAUUUUUCGAACGGACAACAUCAAAAGGGUGCAUCGCAAACUGUGGCUACCGCAGGCCGCAGCUGUGGUUUCCCACUGCCAAAGCUCCGCCAUCAGCUAAUAGUUAGAUGCAAUCAAAUUGAACGCAAUUUGGUUACAGAGUUAAUCAGAGACACAACUGACCCGUAAAACAAGCGAAAGGAAAGCUGAUAAAAGUUUCUGUCAUCCUCCGGUGUAUUGCGGCUACGUUACAAAUAUUUUACUGGCUUAACCGGAGCUAUUCUGACGAACCCUAUUCCAAAUCCACCCUCCAUGGUGUAAGACUUGAGAAGGUGCGAGUGAGGGGAUGUUGCGUCACGGCGGUAGUUAUCGAAGUGUAAUGAGAGUUGUUGCAGGCAGCCAAAGAUUGAAGGACAGGCAUUGAGACGGUAAUUGACGAAUCAGAGCGUCUGAAGCUUUGAUCCAUCAUUGAGAAAAAUCUUAUGUCUUUAGAGAGUUUCAUGGGAACAUAUUUAAGAUGAUAAAGGCAAGCAAGAUGAUGAACAGUCAAGGCAAGCCAAACCUAGCCAAAUGCUACGGGAUAUUUCCUUUUUCGGUUGCAAUUUUAAGUUCUUAGAUGGACUGUGACCAAUUCUCAACUUAUGAUUUGUGGUCACAGCUAGAGAAGCAAUAUGAGCUCAUAAGUGAUGUAUUUUCAGCUUUGUGAAAAUUAUCUGAAUACGUAAGCAAUUUAUUGGAGAUUGAUGCAUUUUUGGCCCAUCAUAAGACACACUUAAGGAAGUCACAGAGUCAUGGAGGCAGUCAUCUGUAUACUUGUGGGAUGCUAUACCGUUACUGCAAACCUAUGGGAGAAGGGCUCCAUCAGGAGGACAGGUUGUUGAGAAAGACCCUACAGAAGCCGCAAAAGAGGAUUAUGAAAUAACAGAGAAUAUCACGGACAUUGACUGUGACACCCCCGAUCAUAGAUGACCGGAAAUGACACGGUCGAUGUUCCUCGAUGGUCGAUCUGAGAUUCUCAGAAUACUUCCGAUCGCCUUAGACCAACAA